UGGAGUAUUCUAAGGUGAAGUGGUA
rnacentral:piRNA from 1 species